GACGAACCGUGCGAACGUUAUUCGGAAUCACUGGGCUUAAAGCGCGUGUAGGCGGAUGGGGACGUCGGUUGUUGAAAGCCCCCGGCUCAACCGGGGAAUGGGCACCGAAACGCCCCGUCUCGAGGGACGUAGGGGGACCUGGAACUUCCGGUGGAGCGGUGAAAUGCGUUGAGAUCGGAAGGAACGCCCGUGGCGAAAGCGGCUCUCUGGAACGGUACUGACGCUGAGACGCGAAAGCGUGGGGAGCGAACAGG
rnacentral:rRNA from 1 species